CCUACGGGAGGCAGCAGUGAGGAAUAUUGGUCAAUGGACGAGAGUCUGAACCAGCCAAGUAGCGUGAAGGAUGACUGCCCUCUGGGUUGUAAACUUCUUUUAUAUGGGAAUACAAUGUUCCACGUGUGGGAUUUUGUAUGUACCAUAUGAAUAAGGAUCGGCUAACUCCGUGCCAGCAGCCGCGGUAAUACGGAGGAUCCGAGCGUUAUCCGGAUUGAUUGGGUUUAAAGGGAGCGUAGGUGGAUUGUUAAGUCAGUUGUGAAAGUUUGCGGCUCAACCGUAAAAUUGCAGUUGAAACUGGCAGUCUUGAGUACAGGAGAGGUGGGCGGAAUUCGUGGUGUAGCGGUGAAAUGCUUAGAUAUCACGAAGAACUCCGAUUGCGAAGGCAGCUCACUGGACUGCAACUGACACUGAGGCUCGAAAGUGUGGGUAUCAAACAGGAUUAGAUACCCUGGUAGUC
rnacentral:rRNA from 1 species